GACGGGGGGGGCAAGUGUUCUUCGGAAUCACUGGGCGUAAAGCGCACGUAGGCGGACUCUUAAGUCGGUGGUGAAAUCCUGGAGCUCAACUCCAGAACUGCCUUCGAUACUGGGAGUCUCGAGUCCGGGAGAGGUGAGUGGAACUGCGAGUGUAGAGGUGAAAUUCGUAGAUAUUCGCAAGAACACCAGUGGCGAAGGCGGCUCACUGGCCCGGUACUGACGCUGAGGUGCGAAAGCGUGGGGAGCAAACAGG
rnacentral:rRNA from 1 species